rnacentral:lncRNA from 1 species
AUGAUCAGCUGUUUUUUGGAAAAACAAAAAGCCCAAGGCUUUGGGGUACAUGUGAAGAACAUGCAAGGUCGUUGCAUAGGGGUCUUCCAUUGGCUGGAGCCAUCAGAGGCCAGAAGACAGAGAGCCCAUGAUCCGCAGAUACGACUGGGACCUGGAGCAGAGGAAGGAAGGGAUGGAGUGGAGAGAGACAGAAAGUCAGCAGCGCAAGAGUUGAGUUGUCUUAGCUCAGACUCUUGUGUGUUGUGGCCUGGGUCUUCUGAAGGGGGUUCAGGGCAUGGGGUGGCCUGCCUCUGUCUCAGUCUCCCAGGACUAGCAGACCCUUCCCACACCAUCCCAGGGCACCGGAUGGACAGUCUCUUCUCAUGCCAAGCUGCCAGGAUUUGGGGCAAAAGAGCUGCCGUGGAAAUUCAAAGCAAACAGCCAGAAGUCUCUUUGAAGAGCACUUCAUUAACAAAGGACUUAGAAGAGAUAGGAAGAAAAGGCUCUGGCCAGCAGGCAGCCGGUGAAGCAGCGCCAUGACUGCCUGAGAAAAGCGAGCUAUAUGUGGAGACUGGCUCUCCGAUCUUCCCCAGACCCCCUCACUGACCCUUAGACAAACAGGAGGGAUGGGGAGCCCGAAGCUGAGAAUCGAGAAUCUGGGGUCCAGCCCCAGCUCUACCACUAACUCUGUGUAAUCUUGAGCAGGAUAGAGUCAUUCUCACUGCACCUCAGCUUCCCCAUCUGUGAAAUGGGGAUAAUGUUACAAAGUGACAUAGGUCAGGUUCUCAGAAGCAGGGAGUCUCAUGCAAGUCAUUUAUUGGUUGGAGGGGGUGCUCUGGGGUGACACCUACAGGGGUAAAGGAAACAGGAAAGCAAGGAAGGAAGCCAGGCAAAGAUGUGGGUCCAGCUGAAGCCUAGUCUCAGCCCCAUCCCUCAGGGAGCUCUGGAGUAGAGCUGAGAGCGGUCCCCUUGAGACAUAUGCAGGGCUUUGUGUCCAUCUUGGGGCAGGCUGAGGUCCCUGUCCGUCCCCUGCUAUAGUUGACUGCAUAGUGGCCCACAAAGGUGUCCACAUCCUCAUCCCCGGAACCUGUGGAUGAGAUGGUAGAAUCUAACAUGGUAAUGGGCCUUUGCAGCUACCAGUCAGCUAAGGGUCUUGAGAUGCAGAUGGUAUCCCGUGCUGUCCAAUCAGGCCCAGUGUUAUCACAAGGGGAAGGCUAGUAGAUCCAGUGGGGGAGGGUAACACUGUAAGUGAAGGCUGGAAGGAUGUGAGGAAGGGGCCCCAAGCCAAGGAAUGCAGGCAGUCCCUAGAAGCUGAAAAAGACAAGGAAACAGAUUCUCCCGUGGCCUUCAGAAGGAGCUCAGCCCUGCUGCCAUCCUGGUUUUCGACUUCUGACUUCCAGAACCGUAAGAGAAUGCAAUCCAUGGAUACAGGUCUAAUCCACCUCCAUGGAUACACGUUUAAUCCACCGAAGGAGUGGUCAUUUAUUUCAGCAGCAACAGAAAACUGAUACAUCUGCCAAGGCUGGGUGGCCACACGACUUGCCCCAUGCCCAAGGGUCCUUAUCCCAGCUCUGUGGGUGUUGGCAGUUACUGACCCUGUUUAAUGAGCACCUUCUGUGUGUCAGGCACAGGUGACAGUGUCUGUGCUGCACCUAAAUCCCCUUGGGUGCAGCUUACCAAUUCUGAGUGCCUGCCCCACCCCUGGCUUCUAUGUGCUUUGGCCUCUAAUGGCCUUCAGGCCGCUGGAGCCACUUUGACCCUGAGUGCAGAGAACUGGAAGCCAGGGUUAGAACGCUCAGCCAGUGAUGGAGAGCCUUGCUUUGAGUCUGAGCAACAGAGGCAUGAUCCACACUGCGGGCAACCCUCGCACCCUCCUGCAUAGACCCUGGCUGGGCGCCUCCCUCGCCCUCACCAGCUUCCCCUAGGAGCACGCCCUCGACACAUCCCUUGUACAGGGAUCCUCAUCUCAGACUUCACUCCUGGGGUCCGGCCAGAGCAGCACUGUACCAGGGGCAUUUUCUAUCUGGUCCUCACAGUUCCUCCCCAAGGCUGGGAGGAUGACGAUUCUUAUCUGACAGGAAACUGAGACUCUGAUCAGCUCUGACCGCAAAGGUUAAGCCAGAAUUGGAACCCAGACACUGGAGAGGAUGCUUUUCCUUCCUGCACUUGGAUUCUUCAACCUUCCAGACGGACCUGUCCCCUGGACUCCUCCUGUGGCCCUGGGGAACCGGGACUCGUUCUGGUCUGUAUUUCCUGCAGGAGGAAGUGGCUGGGUACAGUGAGCUGGGCUGUGGAAGAGAAGGGUCUUUUUGGGACCCUGCCCAUCUCACCCCAGCCUGGGUCCCUGCAAUGGGACUUCGGGUUGGGAGAGGCCUGGGGGGACUACUGGAACCUGACAUGUCGGCGCUGUAGCAGUGGCUCCCUGAGGGCAUGAGAAUCGCUGAAAACUGUGCAGGCUUCAUGCUGAUUCUUCAGUCAAAUCAUGGCAAAUGCCUUAUCCCUCCUUUCCCCACCCCCCGUUUUCUCUUCGGUAACCUGGGGAUCAUAAUCUCCACCCCACACAGCUGUGGCCAGAAUGGAAGGAAUAACAGAUGGGAACACAGUUAGCACAGAGCCGGCACAAUGAGAGCACUCCUUUCCUGCUCAGUGAAUCCCUCCGAGCCUCAGUUUCUUCAUCUGUAAAGUGGGAAUACUUUACAGUCACAUCUGGAGAAGCUGUAGUGAGGUGGGGGGUCAGGAGUCCUGAUCCUGGGUGACCUCGGACUAGCCACUUGACCUCUCUGUGGUCUGUUCCCCAGCUCUGGUUUGUGAGAGCCACAAGUGAAUGCAGUGACAUGCUCAGAACAUGCCCAGCACAUAGUAAAUGCCAUUGUUGUCAUGUGUGUGGAGGCCUGGCUCUGUGCCCGGCAUGCAGCAAGGACUCAGGACACAAUGGCAGUUUAUCCGUCAGCAUUUCCUGGCCCCUGUAAUGAGGUAGGUCACCUCCAGCUUCCCACACAGCCCUAUGGCUUCCAUCCUCAAACUCCCAGGGCCCCGUGCUCAUGCUGGAGCUGAUGUUGGGAGGAGCACGAGCCCUCCACGUCCCUCCACCCGUUCACGCCUCCAGCUCUCGCCCCAA